rnacentral:tRNA from 1 species
UCAAGGGGAAAAAUCUUUUCUCUUUAAACUCCAAAUCUAAUAUUUUAUAUAAACUACCCCCUG